rnacentral:rRNA from 1 species
CAAGCUUCCAAGAAAAGCCCUACACCCGUUAAGGCAUCAUGCCUGUACCCGAAACCGACACAGGUGGGGUGGUAGAGAAUACCGAGGGGCGCGAGGUAACUCUCUCUAAGGAACUCGGCAAAAUGGCCCCGUAACUUCGGGAGAAGGGGUGCCAGCGAGAGCUGGUCGCAGUGAAGAGGCCCAGGCGACUGUUUACCAAAAACACAGGUCUCCGCUAAGUCGCAAGACGAUGUAUGGGGGCUGACGCCUGCCCAGUGCCGGAAGGUUAAGGAAGCUGGUCAGCGCAAGCGAAGCUAGCGACUGAAGCCCCGGUGAACGGCGGCCGUAACUAUAACGGUCCUAAGGUAGCGAAAUUCCUUGUCGGGUAAGUUCCGACCCGCACGAAAGGCGUAACGAUCUGGGCGCUGUCUCGGAGAGAGGCUCGGCGAAAUAGAAUUGUCUGUGAAGAUGCGGACUACGUGCACCCGGACAGAAAGACCCUAUGAAGCUUUACUGUAGCUUGGUAUUGUGCUCGGGCUCGGAAUGCGCAGGAUAGGUGGGAGGCUUGGAUCCAUUGCUUGCGGGUGAUGGUGAGCCACUGGUGAGAUACCACUCUUUCCGAGCUAGAGUUCUAACCCUCGCCCGUUAUCCGGGGAGGGGACAGUAUCAGGUGGGCAGUUUGACUGGGGCGGUCGCCUCCUAAAAGGUAACGGAGGCGUGCAAAGGUUCCCUCAGGCUGGUUGGAAAUCAGCCGACGAGUGCAAAGGCAGAAGGGAGCUUGACUGUGAGACCUACAAGUCGAACGGGGACGAAAGUCGGCCUUAGUGAUCCGACGGUUCUGCGUGGAAGGGCCGUCGCUCAACGGAUAAAAGUUACUCUAGGAUAACAGGCUGAUCUCCCCCAAGAGUUCACAUCGACGGGGAGGUUUGGCACCUCGAUGUCGGCUCAUCGCAACCUGGGGCUGAAGUCGGUCCCAAGGGUUGGGCUGUUCGCCCAUUAAAGCGGUACGCGAGCUGGGUUCAGAACGUCGUGAGACAGUUCGGUCCAUAUCCGGUGCACGCGCAGGAAUAUUGAGAGGAUUUCUCCCUAGUACGAGAGGACCGGGAGGAACGCACCUCUGGUGUGCCAGUUAUCGUGCCAACGGUAAACGCUGGGUAGCCAUGUGCGGAGAGGAUAACCGCUGAAAGCAUCUAAGUGGGAAGCCCCCCUCAAGAUGAGUAUUCCCAUGGCAAAAGCCAGUAAGGUCACGGGAAGAUUACCCGUUGAUAGGCUCUACGUGGAAGCGCAGCAAUGCGUGAAGCGGAGGAGUACUAAUAGACCGAGGGCUUGACC